rnacentral:rRNA from 1 species
AUGCACUCAAAUGAGGCUUUGGACAUGCUGCUCCACCGGAUGCCCGAACUGGACUGUGCGCCUGAUGUCUUCUCGUUCAACAUAGUAAUCAACGGCUGCUUUAGAGAAGGUGAAGUAGACAAAGCAUGCAAUCUCUUCCAUGAGAUGCCCCAACUGGGAGUUCAACCUGAUGUGGUGACCUACAACUCAAUUAUCAUCGCACUAAGCAGGGCCGGGGCAAUGGGUAAGGCAGAAGUGGUCCUUCGGCAAAUGGUUGAUAAAGGCAUUGGACCCGAUGUCAUGACAUAUAACAGUCUGAUCCAUGGAUAUUCUACUUUGGGUCAGUGGAAGGCAGCAGUUAGGGUAUUCAAAGAGAUGGUAAGUGUUGGUGUUCUACCAAAUGCUGUCACGUUGAACUCAUUUAUGGAUUCACUUUGCAAGCAUAGAAGGACAAAGGAAGCUAGAGAUAUUUUUGACUCCAUGGCUGCAAAGGGCCACAAACCUAAUAUUGCCUCCUACUCUACUAUGCUUAAUGGGUAUGCGAAACAAGGAUGCUUCGAUGAUAUGACUGGUCUCUUCAAUUCCAUGGUACAGAAUGAUAUUGUACCUAACAACCAUGUUUUCAACAUACUGAUCAGAGCAUAUUCUACACGUGGACUGAUGGACGAGGCUAUGCACAUGUUCGAAGUAAUGAAGCAACAAGGAGUAAACCCAGAUGUAGUUGACUAUCUAGUAGUAAUAGAUUCACUUUGCAAAAUGGGCAGGAUGGAUGCUGCUAUGGACAAAUUUAAUCAGAUGGUCAAUCAAGGAGUUUCACCUGACAUAGUUGUUUACCAAUGCCUGGUUCUGGGUUCUUGCUCUAAUGGUGAUUUUGUGAAAGCCAAAGAAUUGAUUUCUGAAGCAGUUAAUCGAGGUCUGUGUUCUAACAGUGUGUUCUUCUAUCCUGUAAUAAACAACCUGAGCAAAGAAGGAAAUGUAAAGGAUGCACAAGAUAUGUUUGACUUCAUUGUAGGUAUUGGUCAUCAGCCUGAUGUUAUUAUGUACAAUUCACUGAUGGAUGGAUAUUGCCUUGUUGGCAAGGUGGAGGAAGCAAUGACAGUGCUUGAUGCUAUGAAGUCCGCUGGCCUCCAACCUGAUGCUAUUACGUAUGCUAUACUUCUUAAUGGCUACUGUAAAAUUGGAAGGAUCGACGAUGGAUUGAGUCUUUUUAGGGAAAUCUCACUCAGCAGGGUUAAGCCCACGACUAUUAUGUACAACAUUAUACUUGAUGGGCUGUUUUGCUGUGGGAGAACAGUUUUUGCAAAGGAAGAAUUCGAUACAAUGAUUGAAAGUGGCAUACCGGUGGGCAUUGACACAUGCACCAUAGUUCUUAGUGGACUUUGCAAAAAUAAUUGCACUGAUGAAGCAAUAGAGCUGUUCAAGAAGUUAUGUGCAAUGAAUGUGAAGUUUGAUGUCAUAAUUCUCACUACCAUGAUUUCUGCAAUGUUUAAGACUAGGAGAAUUGAAGAAGCCAAGGAUUUGUUUGCUACUAUAUCAACCAUAGGGUUGGUGCCUUCUGUUGUGACUUACAGU